GACGAACGCUGGCGGCGUGCUUAACACAUGCAAGUCGAACGAAGAGCGAUGGAAGCUUGCUUCUAUCAAUCUUAGUGGCGAACGGGUGAGUAACGCGUAAUCAACCUGCCCUUCAGAGGGGGACAACAGUUGGAAACGACUGCUAAUACCGCAUACGAUCUAACCUCGGCAUCGAGGAUGGAUGAAAGGUGGCCUCUAUUUAUAAGCUAUCACUGCAGGAGGGGAUUGCGUCUGAUUAGCUAGUUGGAGGGGUAACGGCCCACCAAGGCGAUGAUCAGUAGCCGGUCUGAGAGGAUGAACGGCCACAUUGGGACUGAGACACGGCCCAGACUCCUACGGGAGGCAGCAGUGGGGAAUCUUCCGCAAUGGACGAAAGUCUGACGGAGCAACGCCGCGUGAGUGAUGACGGCCUUCGGGUUGUAAAGCUCUGUUAAUCGGGACGAAAGGCCUUCUUGCGAAUAGUUAGAAGGAUUGACGGUACCGGAAGAGAAAGCCACGGCUAACUACGUG
rnacentral:rRNA from 1 species